UCCCAAAGUCAAACAAUUGCGUAUCAAAGACUGACUACAUUUUUGUUUGAAAGAAAUUUUAAGGAAUUACAAUUUCCUUUUUUAUGGGCAUGGGCCAUAUAUUCAUGAAAUUGCUCGGCAACAUUCCAAUGUUGAUCCAAUCAAACUGCUUGAGAAUUCUGUUUCUACCGAGUCGUCUCCAACAUUCCAACCAGCGUCUGGAGUCACCAUUUCCACUAU
rnacentral:lncRNA from 1 species